rnacentral:tRNA from 1 species
GGGCACGUAGCUCAGUUGGAUAGAGCGACGGACUUCUAAUCCGUAGGUCGGGGGUUCGAAUCCUCCCGUGCUCACCA